AGUGAACGCUGGCGGCGUGCUUAACACAUGCAAGUCGAACGAGAACGGAUUAUAGCUUGCUAUAAUUGUCAGCUAAGUGGCGCACGGGUGAGUAAUGUAUAGGUAAUAUGCCUCUUACUAAGGGAUAACAAAUGGAAACGUUUGCUAAUACCUUAUACUCCUUAUUAACAGAAGUUAAUAAGGGAAAGAUUUAUUGGUAAGAGAUUAGCCUGUAUUGUAUCAGUUAGUUGGUGGGGUAAUGGCUUACCAAGACUAUGACACAUAACUGGUUUGAGGGGAUGAUCAGUUAUACUGGAAAUGGGACACGGGCCAGAAUCCUACGGGAUGCAGCAGUGGGGAAUAUUGCACGAUGAACGAAAGACUGAUGCAGCAACGCGCGUGGAGGAUGACACAUUUCGGUGCGUAAACUCCUUUUAUAUGAGAAGAUAAAGACGGUAUUAUACGAAUAAGCACCGGCUAACUCCGUGCCAGCCGCCGCAGUAA
rnacentral:rRNA from 1 species